ensembl:snRNA U6 U6 spliceosomal RNA
AUACUUGCUUCUACAGUACACAUGCUGAAAUUGGAACAAUGCAGAGACUGCCAUAGCCCCUGAGCAAAGAUGACAUACAAAUUCAUGAAGCAUUCCAUAUUAUA